GUGGGGAAUCUUCCGCAAUGGGCGAAAGCCUGACGGAGCAACGCCGCGUGAAUGAAGAAGGCCUUCGGGUCGUAAAGUUCUGUCUUAUGGGACGAAGUCCCCAUAUGUAAAUAAUGUAUGGGGUUGACGGUACUAUAGGAGGAAGCUCCGGCUAACUACGUGCCAGCAGCCGCGGUAAUACGUAGGGAGCAAGCGUUGUCCGGAAUUACUGGGCGUAAAGGGCGCGUAGGCGGGUAUUUAAGUCAGGUGUGAAAACUCCGGGCUCAACUUGGAUACUGCACUUGAAACUAGGUAUAUUGAGGGCAGGAGAGGAAAGUGGAAUUCCUAGUGUAGCGGUGAAAUGCGUAGAUAUUAGGAGGAACACCAGUGGCGAAGGCGACUUUCUGGACUGUACCUGACGCUGAGGCGCGAAAGCGUGGGGAGCGAACGGGAUUAGAUACCCGUGUAGUCC
rnacentral:rRNA from 1 species